rnacentral:rRNA from 1 species
GUGGGGAAUUUUGGACAAUGGGCGCAAGCCUGAUCCAGCAAUGCCGCGUGUGUGAAGAAGGCCUUCGGGUUGUAAAGCACUUUUGUCCGGAAAGAAAUCUCCUGGGUUAAUACCUCGGGGGGAUGACGGUACCGGAAGAAUAAGCACCGGCUAACUACGUGCCAGCAGCCGCGGUAAUACGUAGGGUGCGAGCGUUAAUCGGAAUUACUGGGCGUAAAGCGUGCGCAGGCGGCUAUGCAAGACAGAUGUGAAAUCCCCGGGCUCAACCUGGGAACUGCAUUUGUGACUGCAUGGCUAGAGUGCGUCAGAGGGAGGUGGAAUUCCGCGUGUAGCAGUGAAAUGCGUAGAGAUGCAGAGGAACACCGAUGGCGAAGGCAGCCUCCUGGGAUGACACUGACGCUCAUGCACGAAAGCGUGGGGAGCAAACAGGAUUAGAUACCCCAGUAGUCC